rnacentral:rRNA from 1 species
AUUGAACGCUGGCGGCAGGCCUAACACAUGCAAGUCGAGCGGAUGAGGGGAGCUUGCUCCUUGAUUCAGCGGCGGACGGGUGAGUAAUGCCUAGGAAUCUGCCUGGUAGUGGGGGAUAACGUUCCGAAAGGAACGCUAAUACCGCAUACGUCCUACGGGAGAAAGCAGGGGACCUUCGGGCCUUGCGCUAUCAGAUGAGCCUAGGUCGGAUUAGGUAGUUGGUGGGGAAAUGGCUCAGCAAGGCGACGAUCCGUAACUGGUCUGAGAGGAUGAUCAGUCACACUGGAACUGAGACACGGUCCAGACUCCGACGGGAGGCAGCAGUGGGGAAUAUUGGACAAUGGGCGAAAGCCUGAUCCAGCCAUGCCGCGUUUGUGAAGAAGGUCUUCGGAUUGUAAAGCACUUUAAGUUGGGAGGAAGGGCAGUAAGUUAAUACCUUGCUGUUUUGACGUUACCAACAGAAUAAGCACCGGCUAACUUCGUGCCAGCCGCCGCCGUAAUAC